GAGCAAAGAAGGAGGAGAGGAAGAAAAUCACAAUGAAGAAAAUGAAGAAAAGUCAUGUACAUUCACGUAAUACAGUCACGGACGUUUUUCUUAUCAGCUGGUCUGUGUACUGUGGGAGGUAGACUAGCAAUAGGCAGCACUCGGCUUGUCACUUAAAUUAAAAAACAUUUCCUCAAACCAAUCACAACUGUUUUGCUAGUCAUUCGGUCAUGUCCCACUUGUUCUAACUGUUAGACCAGACCUGUUACAUGCAUUAUUAGAUCCAACGCAAAACGGUUUAUUUAGUGUUAGAGUGUGUUUAGAAUAGUAGACACCGUACCGAGAAAAUUUAAAAAAGUGCUGAAAUUUUUAGGGUCGAGAAUUUUUUGUAAAAAAGUGCUGAACAUUUUUACGUUCUGACAUUUUUUGUUACAGUGUUUCUAUUAUCUUUGUUUAGCUGCUUUUUUGGUAUCUUCUCUUCUUCUUUUCCUCAGUAGAUUUGGUUAGUUGUAUUUUUAUACUGUACUGAUAGAAUUAGUGUUAAAAGUUUGAGGGUCAAAAUUUGGUCAUGUCCCACUUGUUCUAACCCAACUUCUAACUGUUAGACCAGAGCUAUUACAUUAUUAGAUCCAACGCAAAUUGGUUUAUUCAGUGUUAGAGUGUGUUUAGAAUAGUAGACACCGUACCGAGAAACUUUAAAAAAGUGCUAACAUUUUUAGGAUUCGAAAACUUUUUGUAAAAAAGUGCUGAACAUUUUUACGUUCUGACAUUUUUUGUUACAGUGUUUCUAUUAUCUUUGUUUAGCUGCUUUUUUGGUAUCUUCUCUUCUUCUUUUCCUCAGUAGAUUUGGAUAGAGCAGUCUCAGCCAUUCGUAAGCCAGGAGGAGAUACGAGACGAAGAAGAGGGUGACGAAGGAGAGGAGAAUUCGAUUGAAAGGAAAAUCGAUCUAUCAGCUGUGGCGAUCACAUCUGUGAAGGAGAGGAGAAAACCUCCGUUGAAGGAGGAGGAGGCAAAAUGCGAGAUAAAGAAGGCAGAGAGAAAAGGACUGAUAGCUCAG
rnacentral:misc_RNA from 1 species